rnacentral:lncRNA from 10 species
GGUACAUGUGCAGGUUUGUUACAUGAGUAUAUUGCAUGAUGCUGGGGUUUGGGAUAUGAAUGAUCCCAUAAUGCAAGUAGUGAGCAUAGUACCCAAUGGUCUUUCAGCCCUUUCUCCCCACCCUGCCAGUAGUCCACCAGUGUCUAUUGUUGCAUCUUUACACCCAUUAACACCCAAUGUUUAGCUCCCACUUAUAAGUAAGAACACACAGUAUUUGGUUUUCUGUUCCUCUGUUAAUUUGCUUAGGAUAAUGGCUUCCAACUCCAUCCAUGUUGCUGCAAAGGACAAGUUUUAAUUUUUUUUUUUUUAAGAGGUGGAGUCUUGUUAUGUUGGCCAGCCUGGUCUUGAACUCCUGGCCUCAAGUGAUACUCCCAUCUCGGCCUCCCAAAAUCCUGGGAUUACAGGCAUGAGCCCACCAUGCUGACAUGGUUUUAUUCUUU